rnacentral:rRNA from 1 species
GAUGAACGCUAGCGGCAGGCUUAAUACAUGCAAGUCGAACGGUAACAUGAGUAGCAAUACUUGAUGACGAGUGGCGCACGGGUGCGUAACGCGUAUGCAACUUACCUUCAACUGGAAGAUAGCCCCUCGAAAGAGGGAUUAAUAUUCCAUAACUUUAUGAUUUGGCAUCAAAUUAUAAUUAAAGAUCAGUCGGUUGAAGAUAGGCAUGCGUGACAUCAGCUAGUUGGUGAGGUAACAGCUCACCAAGGCGACGACGGGUAGCCGGCCUGAGAGGGUGACCGGCCACGACUGGGACUGAGACACGGCCCAGACUCCUACGGGGGGCAGCAGUGGGGGAUCUUGCACAAUGGGCGAAAGCCUGAUGCAGCGACGCCGCGUGAGCGAAGAAGGCCUCGGUUGUAAGCUCUGUCUGGAGGACGGAACAAAAUGACGGUACCUCCGGAGGAAGCCACGGCUAACUACGUGCCAGCAGCCGCGGUAA